UUUAUGAUUUGGACGAUGAAAGUUGAAAAGAAAAUAGAAAAAAGUCUUUGCAUGAUCCUUUGAAUGUUCGGAAGGAUUCAAACAAAGAUAUUCCGGAAUCCUCUAAAUCAAAGGUUGCACAAAUACACAAACAAAAGAGAAAAGCAUCAGCAACCACUAUUGCCAGGCCGACAUUACUUCGGCCACUCAAGUACAAGAUAAAAAAGAUACCAACGCAUCCCAUAAGAUUUUCUAUUGGUUGAAGAUGGUAGAUAUCAAGAUUAUCCUUGGGGUCAACUAUCAUUCUCAAAACUCAUCGGUUCACUUAGACAGGAUUUUAAUGUUAGUAAAAAAUUAUAUCGAUUAUAUGGGCUGCCGUAUGCACUUAACGUAUGGAUAUACGAAUGUGCAUCCCAAUUAAAUCCUUAAAUUGUGCCAAAGAACGAAAUGUCAUCCCAAGAAUGUGCAAUUGAAGAGUUGUGUUUGAUAAGGCAAAGUUUGAAAUGCUUAUGUCUACCACUUUUGAAGAGAAUGCAUGUUCAAACAUUGUCCCAAUAGCAGAGGAACUUGAAGUUUUUGACCUAGUUGAAGUUGAACAUGCUCCUCCUUCUUCACCACCCUUAGUACAACCAAAUGAGGAAGAUGAUUUUGAUAAUAUCUCCACUAAACCUCCCGAACAGUUAUUGAGGAGAUCUUCUAAAGUGCCUGAUACAUCUCUUCCACCACCCCCCAAAAGAAGAAAAAAAGUGGUUAUACAUAAAAAAAAAAGAUUUCAGAAUCGAGUCAGGCUGAUCAAUCAAAUAUGUCUUCGACACUGGAUGAUGAUGUACAUGUUUCUAUUGCAGAUCUUCUUCC